CCGGUUGCAAAUUUCCAAAAAGGAGAGUAAAAUAAUUAAUGAGUCAAGGUCUCAGGAGAGACAGAAG
rnacentral:antisense_RNA from 2 species